UCAAUAAUAGGAUUCAAUCUUGCGAGAAA
rnacentral:sRNA from 1 species